rnacentral:rRNA from 1 species
GACGAACGCUGGCGGCGUGCUUAACACAUGCAAGUCGAACGAUGAACCGGGUGCUUGCACUUGGGGAUUAGUGGCGAACGGGUGAGUAACACGUGAGUAACCUGCCCUGGACUCUGGGAUAACCCCGAGAAAUCGGAGCUAAUACCGGAUAGGACCUUUCCCCGCAUGGAGUUUGGUGGAAAGUUUUUCGGUCUGGGGUGGACUCGCGGCCUAUCAGCUUGUUGGUGAGGUAAUGGCUCACCAAGGCGUCGACGGGUAGCCGGCCUGCGAGGGUGACCGGCCACACUGGGACUGAGACGCGGCCCAGACUCCUACGGGAGGCAGCAGUGGGGAAUAUUGCACAAUGGGCGCAAGCCUGAUGCAGCAACGCCGCGUGCGGGAUGACGGCCUUCGGGUUGUAAACCGCUUUUAGUAGGGAAGAAGGGCUUCGGCUUGACGGUACCUGCAGAAAAAGGACCGGCUAACUACGUGCCAGCCGCCGCAGUAAGAC